AAAAAGAGAUGUUUUAAUUGAGAUGAAAACUGAGGACAAUCAAACAGGGAAAAGCAGUGAGUGUGAAGACACUGUUUACUCUGAUCUGAAGCAGAACACAGACAGAGGUGGCAGUGCUGGAGUCGAUGCAACUUAUGCUCAAGAUUUUAA